UGGAUAUGAUGACUGAUUGAUUGUCUGAGAAAUAAUUGAUGAAAUCCCAAGAAAAUUCCUCUAGAUAGUCAAGUUCUGAUCCAG